AAUUGAUAUGCACGUUGAAUUGACUGAACAUAUAUUUUCAAUCGAAUGCAUCACUGUUACUUGGAAUCUAUAGUCAGAAUUGUACUUAAUUGAAGUUUCCAAAAAUGUCUAACAUCAGUUUUCACUUAGUUAGUCAAUAUCGUAAAGUUAUUUAAUAUUGACAUACAAAUAUCUUUUGUUUCAAAAUGCUAUCUUCAUGGGUUUGAUUGAUGGAUUGAUUUGUUAUUUUAACCGAACAAAAACUUUAAAUUUUUAACACAAAUUUCCAAAGAAAAAUAAAUUAAGCAAAGAUUGAAAUCAAAAUGAAAAGUCAACAAACCGCAGACCAUUAAACAGUCGAGAGCAAAUGCUGCACAACUACUCGGAAACAAAUCAAGAAUUGCCACAUUUGGUCUGCUCAACGUCGUGCAUAAAUACAGUGGUCUCGGCUAGGGCAAGUGCCAGCUGGAAGCUGUCAACGCACUGAUUUAUUAUUUAUUAACCGAAAACAAGUUGAAAGUUGCAAAAAGCAAACCGAAAAGCUGCGGUAGACGAAUAGAGAUGGAUGGCAAACGUGCAGAGAGUGUCGAGUGUGCGAGAGCAGAUGAGCUAGGCGGCGUUUCGCUUGGUUACGAGUACUAUACCGAAACAAUCAAUCAAUUAUGUAGCAUUACUCAAAACAGCAACAAAAUUACCAGCACGAAAACAAAAACAAUAACAAAUUUAUUGAUUUAAAGUAUUUUGAAAUGUUCGUUGCGAAAUAAACCCAAAGUGGACACACUGACAGCUGUCAAUUUGAUAAACAAGCCAGUUGUGAUAGAGCAGAGUGAAAUUGUUGGAUGAAAAAUUACUCGGACAUAAAAAGAUUUGAUUUGUCUCAAGUUCGGCUGCAGAGAUUGCUCCAGCCCGAAUAGUUUGUUUGAUAAUUGAGCAAGGAAUUUUGUAAGACGCUCGUUUGUACCCGAAAAGGGUUAACACUAGAGGUUAUUUUGAGAAAGGUUACAUAUACGAAAUAUGUCACUAACAUACCAAGAAACCGACAACGCAACGAGAUUUGUAUUUGAUGAGUAAAAAUAGUAACCUUUUGCUGGCAUUUGAACCGUUUUAAAAUGCAUUUGUCACCGAAUGAAAAAAGUCAAAAUUAAUCAAAGAUAUUUAAGCCCAUUUGCUGUCCGUUUGGAAUUUUUAAUUUAUCACUACUUUU